CCGUUUCGCCUGUCAGGUGGGGCAGGCCCUGGAUUAAGAGUGAAGCCAGGAGACACCUGAGCUGGGAACUGAGCAAAGAGAUAGAGGCCUAGUAAUAACAUUUGCACUCUGGAAUUUUGCAGCCCUCGGGUUUGCAGGUUAUCAGCCAAUAAAUACCCUCUUUUGCCUCUGCAAAUUUAAGCUGGAUUUCUGAUGUAAAAUCCAGAGUGUCCUAACUACAACAAGUGGUGUUCUUGAUGUUUUUUUCUGUUUUCUUUAUUCCAUGUUAAAGGCUUUAGGAAUCAUUUGCAUUCAUUUGUUUAUUCACCAAACAUUUACUAAAUCUGUCUCUAUACUAGGCAAUGUGCUAGGCACAGUUCCAAAGAUGAAUAACUCAUGACCUCUAGUUCCAAGAAGCUCACCAGGUAGUGGAAACAGCAUGAUCCAGAUUGAGAAAGGCCUUCAGACACAGGCUCUUCCUGCUGUGGCCAAGGGGAGAGGAGACUGGCUGUUUGCUCACUGCUGUAUACCUGGCACCCGGCCUCUGGCACGUCGUAGGUGCCUAAUAACUCUUCAAGUGGAUAUAUCAGUGUUAAAAACUGACGUCUGAAAAGUAGAAGUUAGAAAGAAGAGGACCACCCAGACGCUCCCUCAAGGUGUCUGCACCUGGUGGGUAACGUGAUAGCCAUGAAGUUUUCGUGUGAGAAAGGCACAAUCACAGCUCCCUGCAGCCUCCAGCUCCUGGCCUCAGGUGAUUGAUCCUCCUGCCUCAGCCUCCUCAGAAGCCUGGACUAUAAGACCAUGCCUAGCAGCUUUUUCUUUACAGUCUCCCAAGGUUGUUGUGAAGGCGAAUGUGGGUUCUAGACACUGGAAAGCCAGGGCCGUCCUAAGUGCCUUACCUGUAAUAACUCAUUUAGUCCUUAUCAAUCAAUCAACUCCAUAAAGGAAGUUCUAUUAUUUUCAUUCUAUCCUUUUUACAGAUUAGAAAACUGAGACACUGGGUUAGUAAGCGGUAGAGCUUUGCUUAAACCCAGGCUGUUUGGCUUAUAAAAAAGUUCUUUUCAGCAGGCUGUAUUUCUUCUUCUCUAUGCUAUUAAAUGAGAUGGUAUAUGAAGUACCUAGCAAAUAUCCAACACAUACAAGCUUCACAAUAAAUACCAGUUCCCUUCUUUCUUAGAUACAAAGUCCCAGAGCAAGAUGACUCACGUCCCUCAUUCACCUACAAUUUUAGGACCUUAUGUGCAAAGGGGCAGCUGGUAGAUAGAACUCAAUGGAAUUUUGUAGACUGUGAUUUACUGUAUUCUUUCUGUCAUCUGGACAUUUCAGUUUCUUGGGUUUGAGACGUGAUUAUAAGUACUGGGAAGUGUAUGUCAGAUAAAUCAGUCUAUGUAUUUUUUACUUUCUUUUUUUUGCUCUCUUAACUCUGCAUUAUCUUCUAAUUACCAAUUAUAUUUUUCCUUUUACA